UACAGAGGUCUCGAGCGUUAGGCGGAAUCACUGGGCUUAAAGGGUGCGUAGGUGGCCAGGUAAGUUUGAUGUGAAAGCUCGGAGCUUAACUCCGAAAUGGCAUUGAAUACUAUCUGGCUUGAGGGUCGGAGGGGAGACUGGAAUUCUCGGUGUAGCAGUGAAAUGCGUAGAUAUCGAGAGGAACACCAGUGGCGAAGGCGAGUCUCUGGACGACAACUGACACUGAGGCACGAAAGCUAGGGGAGCAAACAGG
rnacentral:rRNA from 1 species